rnacentral:lncRNA from 1 species
UUGUGUACAUGCAUUGCCACAGGAAAUUUUUACCAGCAUCAACAAACCUUUCCUGAAUUUCAAAUUAAACUAGGUAAAAACUAACCCACGGUAACCCAAUCAACCUGAGGCACUAUUUUGGGGCGGUAGGAUGGCGGUGGUGGGAAAAGCCACCAGCUACAGAAAUGUUUUUCUUUUUCACAAGAACCGAUGCUUAAAAGACGUUAUCGGUGUUCCCAGCCUAUCAUAAUAAUGAGCUCCAGAAACUGCUGAUCUCUGUGACAAGGAUUUAUCACCUGACAGUUGACAUGCUGCCUGUCAAAUGAAGGAGUUAAAGUUCAGGAUAACAAUCUGACUUGUCAUAUUUUAUCCAAAACAAAAGAUCAUAUGAUUUUCUCAAAUAGAAUAUAGAGCUUGUCACUGCUGAAUUAAGUAUGUUCUUUAAAU